UACGUAGGGUGCGAGCGUUAAUCGGAAUUACUGGGCGUAAAGCGUGCGCAGGCGGUUCGUUGUGUCGGCGGUGAAAGCCCCGGGCUUAACCUGGGGAUGGCCGUCGAAACUGGCGAACUGGAGUGUGGCAGAGGGGGGUGGAAUUCCGCGUGUAGCAGUGAAAUGCGUAGAGAUGCGGAGGAACACCGAUGGCGAAGGCAGCCCCCCUGGGCUGACACUGACGCUCAGGCACGAAAGCGUGGGGAGCAAACAGG
rnacentral:rRNA from 1 species